CCACUGCUUCGGAAGCUUUGU
rnacentral:siRNA from 1 species